UUUCAUGUAAAACAAAAUUGAAGAAUUAUUUUAUAGUUUAACACUUUUUAUUUGUAGGGCUACAUUUGUAUAUAUAUGCAAGCAAUGCUCAAUUAAGACGAAUUUUUGUAAAAGUGACAAUAGCCAGGUCAAACUAAAUACAUGUAUAGAAGAAGAUAUUGAUCUAGACUCGCAGCUAACCUUUCUGUCAGUGUCAACAACAACUGAACUUUCACAGCAGUCAACAUCAGAUUGGGAGACUGAUAAUGCUUCUAAAAGAAACAAUUUCAAUCAACCAAACAAGCAACAGAAACUUUCCAACUUUAAAACAUCAGUUAAAUCUUCCAUGGGAUGAUGUCUCAAAAAAUAACAGUUCAUCAUUUAUGGAGAUUUUAAUGUUAUGGUUUUUCUUUUACAAGAAAGUUAAUGUACACUUGUUUUAUAGUAAAACCUAUAGCCGUUCAAGUAUAAAAAAACACAUUCAACUUUAUUGAAAUUUGAAGAUUCAUAUGACUUAUUUUAAUUCUGUUAUCUCCGAGGAUGUGAUGUAGAGCAUUAUAGGUACAGUAAUCUUAACAGCUAUCCAAUUUCAUUCAAAAUUCUUUAUAAAUUUUGCACUGGUAUAUAUAGACUAAGUAAUUUGUUUUUCGUCUAGUUAUGGGAUUUUUUUUUUAGAAGCAUUUAUGAUUUUCAUGUUUGUAUUGACCACAUUGCAGCAACAUAGAUAUAGGUACCUGGCAAAUCUUGCCUUGUUAGCAUACUAGGCUCAAAGGGUCAUAAAAAAAUUCCAUCACUAAGUGUCUGUUAAAAUCAUCUGUUUACAGUUUUCACUUUUAAACCAUCAUCUUAAUAACUUUAGAAGAAGUGUCAUACAUAUAUAUAUGUAUACAAAAUUUAAAAACUUUUCAAUAUAUAUAUAUAUAUAUAUAUUGAUAAAAACUAUCAACAUGACAAGAUCUAAAUACCCAAAAUUUUUCUGAAAAAUUGGACAUAAUAUCUAUGAGCUAUUGUCCCUGAAAUGUGUAAAUUUACAAAUUUUCACAGUUUUCUGCUACUAUCCGACAACUAUAUCAAUAUAUUAUAAGAAUAAAUUGCAAAAGUGGUCAGAAGAAACUUUUUUUUACAGUAUGAACUUAUUCUGAAUUGUUCAACUUCUAAUUUAAAUUGAUUGCGUUUGAAAUAUGUGUUUUUUAUCGUUUUAGGUGCACAAUUUGUCAAUACGAUCUAUUUCGGCUCCCAGUUUCGGCUCCUAGGAGCCUCUUAGAUUUAUAAUGAAUAAUUUGUAUUUAUGUAUGAUUAUUUUCUUAAUGUAUUAAAUGAAACAUUAAUUAUUCUU